ensembl:antisense
GAAGCUACGCUGCAGGGCUCAGCCGACUGCAGCUCCGCUUACCGUCUGACCUUGCGAAGGUUCGGUGCUGAGCGCAGGCGCUGGACUUUCCGCCUGACAGUCAAAGGAACAGCGUCCUCACCUUCCUAUGGAGGAGUCGCGGUCGUCGGGUCUGCGAGAAGGUGGAAGAGUAUAGGAUGUUACAAGUGUGGAGGUCAAAGGACAACUCUUGGAAUCUCUUCUAUCCUUCUAUCACGCCGGUCUCAGGCAUCAAACAUGGGCCAGCUCCUCAGACUUGGCAGCCUUUACUUGAAGAGCCAUCUUACUGCUCAAAAAAGGUCUUUCUGGCUGGUCCUGCUUCCAUCCAACAUCCCCACAGGUGGUCUAUUCGUAUAUUUUUCUCCUCCUCCUCCUGUCCUGCAACGAAGCUUCCUGUCCCCCAACUCCACAUGGUGAAAACAUAAUUCUCCAAUUACCUAUGCAGGCCCUUGCACAUUUUUUUUUUCCUGAUUUAUACUGUCUCCCUCUGUAGACUCUCCUGUCAUACCCAAGACACCAAAAAUAGCUAUUUGUUCUGAGGUUUUUCCUUUGGCAGCUUUCACUCUUACCUUAACGGUAAUGAGUCUAAGUUCAUGUCUCCUUACAGAACACCACACAAGCCAAAGCUGCGUCAGUCUCAAGUUACAUCUAAAACAAAAUCCGGAUUGGCAAAACAGCUCAGCAGCCCUAGGAUCUAUCUGGGUAAGAGAUGUCAUACCUUCCUCCUCCUUAAUCCCCAUUUGACUCACUGGUUCUGUGGUCACUGGUUUCGUGGUUACAGGAUUCUGAGGGUCCAUAAGUUCUGUAUGAAGACUGUAUGAAGAGGCUGUAGUCUCUACCGCUUCUGUUGUUGUUACCUCCUUAUUCAACCUGUUCUGCCCUCGGUAGGAUUGGGAAACAGUUAUUUCUUCCAUACAGUAUCUCCAUAGAUGCUCUAGUUAAGAAUUUUCCAUCUUUUCCUACAAGCAAGCCUCCUAAUCAACCCCACAGGCUCAGGGAUGUCUGGGCCUGCCGCUAGUACAGAUUGAGUAUGUAUGUAUUCCAUUCAUCAAUUCCCUUAACUGUCCCUCCUCCGUGUAUUAGUAAGCCUACUAGGUUCUGGCUUCCUUCUCCCAGCUAUAGUUAAAGAUCUAUUUGUGACCCACAUCCUAGUUUCUAUCUAUCAGAUUUUCUUUUCUCCUUUCUUCCUUCCUUCCUUCCUUCCUUUCUUUUCCCUUGAGACAGUCUUACUAUAUAGUCACGGUUGAAUUGGAACUUGCUAUGGAGACCAGGUUGACCUAGUACCCAUAGCACUUCUCCUGCCUCUGCUUCCCAAGUGCUGGGAUUAUAGAACUGGACUACCACACCCAGCCUCACAUUUUAGCACUUCCCGGUUUCUGUUUUAGUGUUAUUUGUCCUGGUAGAGAAGUCACUCACCAACCUAUCCUCUGACUCAAACGCGGAGUAAUCAACAGUGAAGUUUACACUGAAGUCAUCUGGAGAAGAGAAAAAGAAACAAGUGAAAGGGGAAGAAACUUCACACUCAGGAUCCUUACAUCUCGUUGUAUUGGUACAACCUACAUUGUAAAGUGUAUUGGUGUAACGUACUUCUAGUUAGCUGUAGUGUUAAAAUAUUUGUGAAUUUGAGCUGGAGAAAUGGCUGAACAGUU